GUCUGGCAGGCGGCCCGCGGGCGGCUGUGGGCGGGAGCUCGGCCCUCCGGGUCCGCCCGCGCCCGGGAGCCGGCGGCCAGGGGACCCGCUGCCAAGGAGGGGGCGGCGGCGGGGCCGGGAACGCGCGGCCCGGCCUAGCUGAGGAGCCAGCAGGCCCCCACAGGCCCUGGUACAGUGCCUCCAGGGACUUAAACCUGCCUCAGCUACGUGAUUACCCUGAUCUAUCUGCUGGGAGAUGAGCAAAGCUCGGAGAGGGACCAGAUCUCAGCAGAGACCAAACCAGCAGCAGUUCCUGAACACCCACCCCCCAGUGCUUCCAGAAGUGCAACAUGGACCAACCUGUGAGCAUUUGCUCCUCCUCAGAUGGGUAGCUUGAAGCCCAGAUUGAGACUCCUGUUUCUCCUCUCUGUUCACUCAUCCCUACUUCCUUUGGUAGUUUCCCUUCUCCAUAUAGCCAAAUUUUAAAGCCUAGAAGCCCUACUCCACUGAGCCAGCCUCUGACUUGCUCUUGAAUGAGGUUAUUGCUCUCCUAACCGGUGCCAGGUAUGCAAGAUCAAGGUGGGGAGGCUUAGUUUCUGCUCUUCCAUCUGGACCAUUCUAUUGACUCAAACGCAAGCAGAUAUAGAAAGAGAAUCAACUUGGGAAUUAGGCCUGGAAUAAAAUUUGGCUUCACCACUAAAGAGCUGCUACUUAACCUCUUUUGGCCUGUUGUAUUAUAAAAUGGGAAGCACCAUCUACCUCCAUGGAAUGUUGAGGUAACAUGGCAUAACACCUUUUCUUAAAAAAGGGCAGGUUUCCCUUUGGCAUGCAUGUAGAAUAGAGUAAGAUACAAAUUAGUUUGGCCCUAGCAACUGGAACCUCUUUCCUCUGGUGUUAACACUGGGAUCAU